rnacentral:rRNA from 1 species
CGCAAGCCUGACGGAGCAACGCCGCGUGCGGGAGGACGGCCUGUGGGUUGUAAACCGCUUUUCUCAGGGAAGAAGAUCUGACGGUACCUGAGGAAUCAGCAUCGGCUAACUCCGUGCCAGCAGCCGCGGUAAUACGGAGGAUGCAAGCGUUAUCCGGAAUUAUUGGGCGUAAAGCGUCCGUAGGUGGUGAAUCAAGUCUGCUGUCAAAGCGUGGGGCUUAACUCCAUAGAGGCAGUGGAAACUGGUUGACUAGAGUGCGGUAGGGGUCGAGGGAAUUCCCAGUGUAGCGGUGAAAUGCGUAGAUAUUGGGAAGAACACCAGUGGCGAAAGCGCUCGACUGGGCCUGCACUGACACUGAGGGACGAAAGCUAGGGGAGCG